rnacentral:tRNA from 1 species
CGGGGGUGCGCAAUGGGAGCUUGACUGCACGAGCUUUCGUGUGCGAGAAGGCUGCCGACCUGCGGAGAUUCCCGAUCCCAUCCUCUGGGGGUCAAGGGGUCGCAGGUUCAAAUCCUGUCGUCCCGA